GGGUGGGUAGUUUAGCUCGGUUUAUAACGCCUGCCUGACGUGCAGGAGGUCGGGGGUUCAAAUCCCUCUCCACCCA
rnacentral:tRNA from 1 species